GCUACUAUCGAUUGAGCGGUUCAGUGAGGGCCUCGGAUUGGUCUCGGUCUGGCGCUCGCGCGUCGGCACCGUUGGCCGAGAAGACGCUCGAACUCGAUCGCUUGGAGAAAGUAAAAGUCGUAACAAGGUUUCCGUAGGUG
rnacentral:rRNA from 1 species